rnacentral:rRNA from 2 species
AACGAACGCUGGCGGCAGGCCUAACACAUGCAAGUCGAACGCACCUUCGGGUGAGUGGCAGACGGGUGAGUAACGCGUGGGAACGUACCUAGUGGUUCGGGAUAACUUCGGGAAACCGGAGCUAAUACCGAAUAAGCCCUUCGGGGGAAAGUUUUUCGCCAUUAGAUCGGCCCGCGUCUGAUUAGCUUGUUGGUGGGGUAACGGCCCACCAAGGCGACGAUCAGUAGCUGGUUUGAGAGGAUGAUCAGCCACACUGGGACUGAGACACGGCCCAGACUCCUACGGGAGGCAGCAGUGGGGAAUAUUGGACAAUGGGCGCAAGCCUGAUCCAGCCAUGCCGCGUGAGUGAAGAAGGCCUUAGGGUUGUAAAGCUCUUUCAACGGUGAAGAUAAUGACGGUAGCCGUAGAAGAAGCCCCGGCUAACUCCG